ensembl:miRNA Mir6407 microRNA 6407
GUGAGGUGACUUCCUCGGGUGCCACAUUGCAUUCUGGGGAGCAGCAGGGAAGCCUUGGCUGUCCCUGACAGGGCAAGUGUCAUUUGGAAGUAAUAUUCACA